ensembl:misc_RNA Metazoa_SRP Metazoan signal recognition particle RNA
GCCGGGCGCGGUGGUGCACGCCUGUAAUCCCAGCACUUUGGGAGGCCGAGGUGGGAGGAUUGCUUGAGCUCAGGAGUUUGAGACCAACCUGGGCAACAUGGCGAAACCCCAUCUCUA